rnacentral:rRNA from 1 species
AGUGAACGCUGGCGGUAGGCCUAACACAUGCAAGUCGAACGGCAGCACAGUAAGAGCUUGCUCUUACGGGUGGCGAGUGGCGGACGGGUGAGGAAUACAUCGGAAUCUACUUUUUCGUGGGGGAUAACGUAGGGAAACUUACGCUAAUACCGCAUACGACCUACGGGUGAAAGCAGGGGAUCUUCGGACCUUGCGCGAUUGAAUGAGCCGAUGUCGGAUUAGCUAGUUGGCGGGGUAAAGGCCCACCAAGGCGACGAUCCGUAGCUGGUCUGAGAGGAUGAUCAGCCACACUGGAACUGAGACACGGUCCAGACUCCUACGGGAGGCAGCAGUGGGGAAUAUUGGACAAUGGGCGCAAGCCUGAUCCAGCCAUACCGCGUGGGUGAAGAAGGCCUUCAGGUUGUAAAGCCCUUUUGUUGGGAAAGAAAAGCAGCGGGUUAAUACCCCGCUGUUCUGACGGUACCCAAAGAAUAAGCACCGGCUAACUUCGUG